AUUCUCCUUCAUCCUUCUUAGAAAUCUCUGUAAAAUAUAAGGUGGUGAAAUCAAGCUGAUACAGUGUAUUUUCUUCAAUCAUUCCCACUCCACCAUCAUAAUAUUUACCAUUAUCAGGUUCCCCUUGUUCCACAGUACACCAUUAAUUUUUUCUGUGUCCCAACAGUAACACCUGUGACAUGAUAAGAUUUGAUAUGUAGCUCUAUGAAAACACUUAGAGAAAUGUUCAAAUUCCACCAGCAGUUAAGUGCACCACAAUUUGGGAAAUGCUAGAGAAUCAGGCUUGGUGUUAGGGAGACCCCAUAACUCUGCCUUGAGACCUCGGUUGGGCACACCUCUCAAAUUCUGAAUUGAUUUCCUAAUCAGUAAGGAGAUAAUAUAACAUCUCCAGGUGUUACCAGCGUUGUUGUGACUUAGGUAAGUCCUUCCUGCGAGCCUCAGGGACCCUUGUCCAGGUCCCUCUGAGCAGCGAGAAGGAAAGCCGUGACCUCUAAAUUGGUCAGCGGUCAGGGCCGCGGUGGGAAAACCCCUCUCGGAAGCAAAAGUCUGUGAAGCCCCUGCCCUCUCCCAUCGCUUCCUCUCCACUAUCUCCCUGGCCACCCCACGAAGGUAAGAACAUGGUGUUCCAGGGCCUUUCCCCCACAUGAACCGCCCACUCUCCCUGGGGACACUGACAACUUCCGGAGGAUGAGAGGGGGAAGUCAGGCCUCCACGAACUUCAGCCGGCGUCUCCGGCUCGAGAAGGGGAGGAAGGAGCAGGAAGGAGGGGUCAGAUUUAAAUGUUCAGUAAAGCUCUGCUUGCUCAGCUUGGGGUCUUGGACUCCUCUGUGAACCUCUGUUACUGAGCCUGCCUUCUCUAGCUCUCAAGAAUGCAGAUGGAUUGUGGAACUAGAGUCUCAGCAAUUUCUCUUCCCCCUUCUCACAAAGCCUCAAACCACCUCUACUUUUAUUUGCCAAAGUGUCUUAAAGCUCCAGAGACCUUCAGCUGCAUUUAGUCAAGCCUGUCUUCUUGCAGACCUCUUCAAAAAGAGAAUAUUCAAGCCUUUCUUCCUCUUCCAGGGCCUUCGAGACCACCAGAGUCACUGCCUUGGUUGCCAGACUGAAAGAAGGCCUUCCUAGUUGUAAGUCCGAGGAGAGGAAAUCCUAAUAAAAACCGAAAUCAGUCAAAGGGAGAAAUAAAGUUUAAAAUCCGUUUAUUGCUCACAAACGGCAGUCUGGGGCCAUUUCUCUCUUUCCUGCUCUAGCAGAGUCCAAAAACCAGCACUUUCCCUCCCUUCUCAGGAAUAGAUAAGCCCUCAGUUGCCCAGGUAAUUACCCAUUGAUAUGGAGAUGAACUUCUCUCCACCCCUGAGGAUUUGCAAAUGCACUAAAGCCACGCUUCUUUCCACCUCUGAACGCCUAUUGAUGCGCAGAUGAACUAAAGCCAGGUGAGAUAUUCUGGAAAUAUUACAAUUUUACCCACACUAGUACAAGGUACAAUCUAGACAUGGAUGGACCACAGUGCUUCUCAGAUUAAGGAAACAAAGAUACACAGCAAAGGUACAGAAUGAGUCAUUCAAAAUAACAACAAUAAUGAAUAUCUGCAGCCAGUCCUGGAUUUCUCAGCAGGUCCUAGACUUCCCAAACAGAAAGAAAACUGACUUGCUACAGUCCUCUUCUUAGUUUCUUGCCUUUCCAUGGCCCUGAAAAGACUGAGGAAUGUAUGUGAUGAUCCGUCCAGAUUCUCCAGUUACCACUGCACUAUAAAUGACAGACUGCACAAUGUGAAAA